AGAGUUUGAUCCUGGCUCAGAACGAACGCUGGCGGCGUGCCUAACACAUGCAAGUCGAGCGCGAAUAGGGGCAACCCUUAGUAGAGCGGCGCACGGGUGCGUAACACGUGGGUAAUCUGCCCUAAAGCCUGGGAUAACCAGCCGAAAGGUUGGCUAAUACCGGAUAAGACCACGGACUCUUCGGAGUCUGCGGGAAAAGGUGGCCUCUGUAUACAAGCUAUCGCUUUUGGAUGAGCCCGCGGCCCAUCAGCUAGUUGGCGGGGUAAUGGCCCACCAAGGCAACGACGGGUAGCUGGUCUGAGAGGACGAUCAGCCACACUGGAACUGAGACACGGUCCAGACUCCUACGGGAGGCAGCAGUGGGGAAUUUUGCGCAAUGGGCGAAAGCCUGACGCAGCAACGCCGCGUGUGUGAUGAAGGUCUUCGGAUUGUAAAGCACUUUCGGCCGGGACGAAAACCCGGAGCUUAAUACGCUCCGGCUUGACGGUACCGGAAGAAGAAGCACCGGCUAACUCUGUGCCAGCAGCCGCGGUAAUACAGAGGGUGCAAGCGUUGUUCGGAAUUAUUGGGCGUAAAGCGCGUGUAGGCGGCUUUGCAAGUCGGGUGUGAAAGCCCUCGGCUCAACCGAGGAAGUGCGCCCGAAACUGCAGAGCUUGAGUACCGGAGAGGAUGGCGGAAUUCCCCAAGUAGAGGUGAAAUUCGUAGAUAUGGGGAGGAACACCGGUGGCGAAGGCGGCCAUCUGGACGGAUACUGACGCUGAGACGCGAAAGCGUGGGUAGCAAACAGGAUUAGAUACCCUGGUAGUCCACGCUGUAAACGAUGAGAACUAGGUGUCGUGGGUGUUGACCCCCGCGGUGCCGUAGCUAACGCAUUAAGUUCUCCGCCUGGGAAGUACGGUCGCAAGACUAAAACUUAAAGGAAUUGACGG
rnacentral:rRNA from 1 species